rnacentral:rRNA from 1 species
AAGGAAUAUUGGUCAAUGGAGGCAACUCUGAACCAGCCAUGCCGCGUGCAGGAAGACGGCCCUAUGGGUUGUAAACUGCUUUUGUACCAGAGAAAACCCUUCUACGUGUAGGAGGUUGAUAGUAUGGUAAGAAUAAGCAUCGGCUAACUUCGUGCCAGCAGCCGCGGUAAGACGAAGGAUGCAAGCGUUAUCCGGAUUCAUUGGGUUUAAAGGGUGCGUAGGCGGACCUGUAAGUCAGUGGUGAAAUCUCUCAGCUUAACUGAGAAACUGCCAUUGAUACUGCAAGUCUAGAGUAUAGAUGACGUUGGCGGAAUAUGACAUGUAGUGGUGAAAUACUUAGAUAUGUCAUAGAACACCGAUUGCGAAGGCAGCUAACGAAACUAUAACUGACGCUGAGGCACGAAAGUGCGGGGAUCAAAC